AGUGAACGCUGGCGGUAGGCCUAACACAUGCAAGUCGAACGGCAGCACAGUAAGAGCUUGCUCUUACGGUUGGCGAGUGGCGGACGGGUGAUUAAUACAUCGUAAUCUACUUUUUCUUGGGUGUUAACGUAGGGAAACUUACGCUAAUACCUCAUACGUCCUACGGUUUAAAUCAUUGGAUCUUCUUACCUUUCGCGUUUGUUUGAGCCGAUGUCGGAUUAGCUAGUUGGCUUGGUAAAGUCCCACCAAGGCGACGAUCCGUAGCUGGUCUGAGAGGAUGAGCAGCCACACUGGAACUGAGACAGGGAAAAGACUACUACGGGAGGAAGCAGUGGGGAAUAGUGGACAAUGGGCGAAAGGAUGAUCCAGCAAGACCGAGUGGGUGAAGAAGGACUUCGGGUUGUAAAGAACUGUUGUUGGGAAAGAAAAGAAGCAGGUUAAUAAAACGAUGUAAUGACGGUACCAAAAGAAUAAGCACCGGCUAACUUCGUG
rnacentral:rRNA from 1 species